rnacentral:lncRNA from 1 species
CAGCAUUAUUUAAAUGUUCCCAGCAUUAUUAAUGUCAAAAUACCUUGGAGUGAAAGAGCAGCAGUUUUUCUGGUAUCGAGAGGGGUUGUUUUCCUUUGCUUGCCUCCCUUCACAGUGGAUUGAACAGAGGAAUGGGGAAUCAUCAAGAACAGGUCCUGCUACAUGGGAAUUGCUUGGAGUCCAGAGGAAGAAGCAGCUCAGAGCGAGGACAGGGCUCGGAGAGAGGCUCUGCAAGUACACGUGGCUGGAAAGAAACACCCCCUGGGCUCCAGCACCAGCUGAUGGAAGCGUGCACCAAACACCUGCUGUGCUUGGGUUGCCAGCACCAGACCCAAAUUUCUACAUUUCCUUUGGUCUCACCCUGCUAGCCCAGCUCCCUCACAGCACACCCUGGAUGGAUGGUGGCUCUUCAUUUGACCUUCUCCAUGUCCCUCUCCACCUGUGGACAACCUGAGCAGUGCCAGCCAUGGGGAAUAAACUUCUCCUGCUGGGUGCA